UACGUAGGGUGCGAGCGUUGUCCGGAAUUAUUGGGCGUAAAGGGCUCGUAGGCGGUUUGUCGCGUCGGGAGUGAAAACCUUGGGCUUAACUCAGGGCUUGCUUUCGAUACGGGCAGACUAGAGGUAUGCAGGGGAGAACGGAAUUCCUGGUGUAGCGGUGAAAUGCGCAGAUAUCAGGAGGAACACCGGUGGCGAAGGCGGCUACCUGGACAGAAACUGACGCUGAGGCGCGAAAGCUAGGGGAGCAAACAGG
rnacentral:rRNA from 1 species